rnacentral:misc_RNA from 1 species
GUUUAAAUAUUUUUCUACACAUAAAAACAUAUAUAUAUUUAGAUGAACUCCAACAUCAAUUUGACAUAUAGGUAACAUCAAUAUGGAGAUAAAUUCACUUAUUUUAAAGAGAGAAGCAUCUUAUAAUGUUUAGGAAUAAUAAAUGAAGUUAAAAAAAAAAAUUGUAGUAUUUAAUAUGACCAAAUUGCAAUAUAUUACUAUUAGCUAAGGUAAAACUAUGGCAAGUAAUGCAUUCACAACAGGCAAGCACAUGAGACAGCAGAUUUUAGACAUAUUAGGGUUCACACUUAUAUAGUGUAUGCCCAACUGUCUCUUGUGCAAAGCAGUCAAUCAGGGUAGAGGUAUCAGCUUAUGAUAACUAAAAUUACUAGAUAAAAGAAGGGGGAAAACUUCUCAACUCGUCCAGCCCAGUAAGUUAGAACAGAAAAGUAAAAUAAACGAUGAAUAGUAUGGGAGGAGUCAGUCCACCUCCAAUGGCAGACAUUAAAGAUCUAAUCCAUGAAAAUUGGAUUACUGGUUCUUAAUUGAUUUCAGAGAAAAGGGCACAAAAGCAAAUUAUUAUUUUUCUUUCAGAAAAAUACAAGAUGGCCUUAUAUACUCUUAGAACUCUCAGAUCAGAACUUAAUCUAAUAAGUCCAGAACUUAAAGCUAAACACAGACUAAUACCUAAAUAACACAUUUAAUAACUCAAAUUGAAAAACUAGCAGAUAUCUCUUGAACCACCAUAUUCUAGAGACUGCUUACAGAUUACAUUUAGUAACUCAACUGAUACACUUAUAUCACAAAACAAAACCACACACCGAUAUAUUACAGCCAUGAUUCUUCAUUGACAUCGUUGUCCUAGAAAUAAAAUAGUUAUCCAUAUUUCAAAGUCCUUGAAUCUGGCCUUCCCUAACAUUAAGAGCUUAUAUAAUUCUCCCCAAGGUUGUAGAAACUCUGUUGAAUUAUUAUGCACUGUAUUAGCAAAAUCUCCACAUUCACGAAUGCCAUCAGCAUUGAAAGAAAAAAGCAUCAUGUUAGCUUCUUUGUUUGAUGAAGGAUCAAUAAUCUUGAUAGUUCAAUACUUCAAAAAUGCCACUAAAUUUUAGUUGGAAUAACCAAAACACAGUAGUUACAUCUAUUUGCAUUGGAACUUCAAAAGAGUUCUUUGUCUCAUUCUUAACAUUCUUGAGCAAGUUGAUGGCAUAAACUUGAACAUUACCACCUCACCACCUUUUUAUCAUUCUCAAGCAUUCAACAAAGUGCUGGUAAUCCUUAGCAACAGAUCUCCAACUUCAUUCUCUCUUUUUGCAUUUUUUUUUUUUCACUUUCAUUCGAAAUAUUGAGUCUCGCAAUCUUUUGAUGCUCUUUGCAACCCUUCAAAAGCAUCAACAAUCAACGUAUGUUUCCCUUAAUGUUCUUCAGACAAUAAAUAAUCUCCUUCUAGUUUUGUUGUUUCAAAAAAUAGGCAGGGCAGUUUGAGAUGGUGACACAACCCUUUUUAUUUCCAAACCAGUGGCUCACUGAAAGAGGCUGUUACAGAAAUCAGGACACUAAAUAUUCUCCUUUGGUCAGUCAGCCUUCCUCAAGGGUCUCAAAAACUGCAAGUUACCAUUGGUUAUGACGACGACAGCUCUUUAAAACUAACAACCUUUCUCUUACACCAAAAUUGAUGUAAUCCAGUAAUUUAGGACAAAACUACGAUAAAGGUUGAAAAAGUUUGGAAGGAGUUCAAAUCCUUCAAGUUCAACAGCCCUCAUAAGAUCUAAUCCUUAAAACUUUGCUAAUUGGUUCUGGAAUGAUUUUGAGAGAAAUAGACAUAAAACUGAAUUAACCAUUCCAUCUCUCAAAACCAUAUAAGAAGCCUCCUACAGACUCCAAAAAUAGUAGCAGAACCUAGACUGAUAAUGCAAGAAUAGAUAACAUUGACUGAUUAAUGCAUGCCAUGUUUAGUGAUUCAGAUUGAAAAAAGAGGAAAAAAAAAUCUCUCGACUUGCAUAUAACAUCCACUCUUCAACAUAGACUACAAAAGUGAAUAAUAAGAUAUGUGAAUAAGCUUACACUAGCAUUGCAAAACAAAACCUCAAGCCUAUAAAUACGAAAAUAAUUAGGCAUGCAUCCAAGUCCUCCUAACCCAUAAAUGAAAAAAUAAAAAUUAUCCAAAUUCCAACCCCUUAAAUGUGGACUUUCUUGGUGUAUUAUCAGUCCAGCUAGAUCAUUGUUAUUUAUUGGUAGUGUUUCCAAAACACUCAAAAGAAUUAUGAUUGGUAGCUGUGCACUAAUAAUAAUACCUUAAUGUGUUAAAAUUAGUUUAUUACUAAUCCAUUUAGACUAUUAGCAGAAUGCAAGGUGUAUUUAAGAAAAGCAUUGUGUAUGUGAAUUGAAGGAUUAACAUUUUGACAAAUUGAAGUUUUAGCAAUCGCAGAACACCCAAAAUCUGAGUUACGUUUGCUAUUUGGAAGAUGAGAGAGCUAAAUCCAACUAUGCAAGCAACCAAACAGAAAGUCACAAAGGUAAUAAAGGAGAAGAAGGCAACCUUCAGUAGAGCGCUUGAUGCCCG